UCACUAACCAGUGGCUCAGAGGAUGGAGCAAUGUGCAGAGGACUUGUGGUCUGAGGAAACAGAGAGCUCCGGAACUGGAAACAGCCCCACCUAAACCAAGUAUGAGGCACUGCAGCACAUAAGAGAAACGGUAGAAAGAGAGAGGAGAGAUGGAAGAUGAGGCUAGAGAGAGAUAAUUUAUACAGCCUGUCUGAGGCUCAGCACCCUUGCAGAAGUGAGGAGGCAUUGCUGAUUGGUGGCCCGCAGGAUGGACUCUUCAGUUCUCCAACACUUCCCACCUGGACCAGCACAUUUUUCAAGCAAGAAGGUAUGAUGAUCAAGGUGAAUCUAUCUGGACAGCAUUGGAUGAGACAAUUCAAAAUGCUUACUUUUCAUGCCAUUUUGAAUUUGGGGAACAGCCAGAAGUUACACACAGAUCUGGCAAAUAAGGUGCAUGAGGACACACCAUAA
rnacentral:lncRNA from 1 species